AAAAAGUUAUCCAUCUCUAACUCCUCUCCGAUGAGAUCAAGCUCUCCGGCCGACAGAGUGGGCUUCCACAGCCACUGUCGGUCGGGUUUCUGCUCUUAAGUUUUUAAGUUCUUUGCAUGCGGUUUCAGACUCUGGCGAUCCUUCUAUUCCGGCUAGCUUUAACUCUGGCGUCAUCACCUUACCUCUCUGGUGAAGGCGGAUGGCUUUUGAUCAUGAUUCCG
rnacentral:lncRNA from 1 species